UCCCUGGUGGCCUAGUGGUUAAGGAUCCAGUAUUGUCAAUGCUGUGGUGCAGGUUCGAUCCCUGGCCUGGGAA
rfam:Sus scrofa chromosome X.